UCAUGGCUCAGGAUGAACGCUAGCGGCAGGCCUAAUACAUGCAAGUCGAGCGGGAGGGGCCCUUCGGGGGUCCCGAGAGCGGCGGACGGGUGCGCAACGCGUAUCGCAACCACCCCCCUCGGGCGGACAGCCGGUGGAAACGCCGGGUGAUACGCCGUGCGGCCGUCAGGGGGCAUCCCCUGUCGGCGAUAGCCUUAGGGCGGAGGGGGACGGGCAUGCGUCCCAUUAGGUGGUAGGCGGGGUGACGGCCCACCUAGCCGACGAUGGGUAGGGGAUCUGAGAGGACGGUCCCCCACACUGGCACUGAGACACGGGCCAGACUCCUGCGGGAGGCAGCAGUAAGGGAUAUUGGUCAAUGGGGGGCAACCCUGAAACCCAGCCAUGCCGCGUGAGGGAAUGAGGCCCUACGGGUCGAGAACCUCUUUUGACCGGGGACAACGGCGGGGUUUAGAACCCCGCGUGAGGGUACCGGUGGAAUAAGCGCCGGCUAACUCCGUGCCAGCCGCGGC
rnacentral:rRNA from 1 species